rnacentral:rRNA from 1 species
UACGUAGGGGGCAAGCGUUGUUCGGAAUCAUUGGGCGUAAAGCGCGUGUAGGCGGCCAGGUAAGUCCGUUCUGAAAGCCCGGGGCUCAACCCCGGGAGGCGGAUGGAUACUGCUUGGCUCGAGUCCGGAAGAGGCGAGUGGAAUUCCCGGUGUAGCGGUGAAAUGCGCAGAUAUCGGGAGGAACACCAAUGGCGAAGGCAGCUCGCUGGGACGGUACUGACGCUGAGACGCGAAAGCGUGGGGAGCAAACAGG